GGAGGUGUGCCCGAGCGGCCGAAGGGAACGGUCUUGAAAACCGUCGAGGCAGCGAUGUCUCCGUGGGUUCAAAUCCCACCGCCUCCGCC
rnacentral:tRNA from 1 species